rnacentral:rRNA from 1 species
UACGGAGGAUCCAAGCGUUAUCCGGAAUUACUGGGCGUAAAGAGUUGCGUAGGUGGCAUGGUAAGUUGAUAGUGAAAGCGUCCGGCUCAACCGGAUACGCAUUAUCAAAACUGCCAAGCUAGAGGACGAGAGAGGUAACUGGAAUUCCUAGUGUAGGAGUGAAAUCCGUAGAUAUUAGGAGGAACACCGAUGGCGUAGGCAGGUUACUGGCUCGUUCCUGACACUAAGGCACGAAAGCGUGGGGAGCAAACGGG